rfam:Streptomyces sp. NRRL WC-3618 P435contig41.1, whole genome shotgun sequence.
CCUCCGUCUUCCCCGCACAGGAGGACGGAUCGAGGAACCGGGGCUCUCUGCCCUGACUGCGCCGGCUCCUCAUCCAUCGGCCGCUUGGGACCGCACACCCCACGGCCGUUGCUGCUCCGGGCUGCGGUGCCGAGAGGGCUGAGGGUCCCUCUCAGGCGC